UACGGAGGAUCCGAGCGUUAUCCGGAUUUAUUGGGUUUAAAGGGAGCGUAGGCGGGAUGCUAAGUCAGUUGUGAAAGUUUGCGGCUCAACCGUAAAAUUGCAGUUGAUACUGGCGUCCUUGAGUGCGGCAGAGGCAGGCGGAAUUCGUGGUGUAGCGGUGAAAUGCUUAGAUAUCACGAAGAACUCCGAUUGCGAAGGCAGCUUGCUGGACCGUAACUGACGCUGAUGCUCGAAAGUGCGGGUAUCAAACAGG
rnacentral:rRNA from 1 species